GUGUAUCUGAAUGUUCUAUACAAUUUGCCCAAAGUUGCAGCUUUUCCUGUUCUUCUCACUGUAAACAUUACAAUUUGGGCAAGAUGACCCCUAGUUGUCAUCUCAUGGUCCUUACUCUCUUGCUUUAUUUCAGAUUUCAAUGGGACUCUAACAAGGUGUGAGGUCUCCAUACAGGAUCAGAGCCUUCAUAAUGGAAGCAUAAUCAAUCAAAACCCAGAAAACUAUUUAUUCGCCUUUGUAACAUAACAAAACUUAUUUAAACUGAAGUGGUGUUAGGGUGUGGGUGAGAGACAAAAUGGGGAAAGAUUCAUACCAAAGAAACCCAGACAUCAGUUUUCAGCAUAGGAGGGGAUUCUGAUGGAUAUCUAAGCCCCUGGGAACAGUGGGGUUAGUAGCAUAAGUUAAUAGGACUUCGCGAACUCUGCAGAGUUUACUUGAGGAAGGAGGAUGUGCAGGGUUUGGGAGUAAUUCAACCCUUACAGAGCCAUAUCAGAUCAACUCAGACCCUAGAAUGAGACAGUCACUUCCUGCCUUUCUGGUUCCAAGGAGAAAGCCCAAAAACCUUUAACCUGAGAGGUCUUUAGGGGGCUCAGGAGCGCACAUUCCCUUCCCCCAGUAGCAAUGGGGAAAGGUUUAUUUCUGCUCUUUAUUUCAAUGAUCGUUCUUAGCAUUAAGCAAACGGUUUUUCCGAGUUGUUAAAAUGCAAUACUGGAAGCUAGCACUGGAUGGUAUGUUUUGUUUUUGUAAGGGUUGUUUAAAAGGAAAAGAUUUGGGAGAAAAGGAAAGUCAAACAAUAAGCUGACGAAAGAGGGUACCUAUACCCUGGCUAUAAAAAACUGCAUCUAACUCCUGCUAACCAGAAUUCUCCAUCUAACCCCUCAGUGUACAGAUGCCAGUGAUAUGCAUGUUAGAAGUACUAGAGAUGGCACUUACUAUGAUAGAUUUGUUCUGUUAAUGCUAAGUAAUAUGGCAGUAAUAGAACUCCCAUAAUUAUUGCAAUACAGAACAAUCAAGGCAUGAUAAUGCGUUCAUAGACCAUCUAUUUACAUCAGAAUCAUGUAGGUUUUUUCCUUUAAACACAUUAAGCUACAAGUAUUCAAUUCCUAAAGAAAAGGUCCAAGUUUAAAAAAAAAGAUGAACAUAAGAACGGCUAUACUGGGUCAGACCAAAGAUCCAUGUAGCUCAGUAUCCUGCCUUCCACCAGUGGCCAGUGCCAGGUGUUUCAGAGAGAAUGAACAGACAGGUAAUCAUCAAGUGAUCCAUCCCCUCUCACCUAUUCCUAGCUUCUGGCCAGCACAGAUGUAAAGCUCACUAACUUUUUGUAGUUCCACAGACAGCACAGUCAUAUCAAAGUGGAUAGUUUUCUCUUUCUAUUUUAAUUUGACAAACUGGUAUGAAUAGGUUAGUUUCAAAUCUAUUGGAAUUCAGAAGGAUUCAUAUUAGUUUUCUUUUUAUUUACCUACUAAAUAACUGAUAUAGUUAAAGAGUAGUUCUAAACCAGGAAAAACUGACUAAUAACGGCAAUGAAGGGUUCAUGUUUAUUGGCUCAGUAGUCUCCUGACCACGUUUAUUCCAUUCAUAUUAAAAAAUCGUUUAACUUGCUGGGAAGAUUCUCCACAUGGAAUUUAACUGGCCAAUCUGUUAAUGAUGUGUCACUAGAAUAGAAUUUUGCUCAUACUCUCAUAGCACUGCUGUGCCAUUAUAGGGAGCUGGAGUAAAGAAGGAGAAAAAUAUUUUUUCCCAAAAAAGUGCACAACUCUAAAUACCCAAGACGCAGACAUAUUGAGUAAGGUGAUGCCAUUUUACAUAGUUCCUUUCCUGGCCAUAACCCAACAUUAAAACAUUAGGAAAUUAGUAGUGAAAAUUUGAGGUUAAAGUCUGAGGGAAACUUCUAAAUGUGGGUAAAUAUUUAGACAAAAAUAAUGCUCAGCGCUCUCAUUUUUAAGGUUAAAGAUGUUGAGCAAUGUUUCCCUAUAUUUGCUUAGAAUCUCCCUUGAUUGUGUGGCACACAUUGUGAUUUUUCUUUAAUAAAGAAUGUACCAUGCAUAAUAUCCCUGUACAGACUGGGCAGUUUGCACUCAGUUACUGCUUGCAAAACAAAUCCCUCAGAAUUCCAUUACAAUAGUUUAUACUACACAUGCAGCAUUCACAUUUCGCUGAUAAUUGGGUCUGUUUUGAAUUAUACUACAAUUUAGCUUCUGUAGAAAUUUGAAGUUAAAAAAGAGAAACAACAAACAGCAUUUCCUUUGACAAUAUUUAGUAUCUCUGAAUAUUUCAGAUAUGUGUCUCCUAGCGCUUCAUAUGAUCAAUGGUACUUAAAAGGUGCCUUUCAGUUACAUAAUAAAUAUUUCUAUUGCCAUUGGUAUUUUUCUCUAUCAUUCCAUAUUUGUAAUAACUUAAUAUAUAGAGUAAUUUAAUAUAUUUAGAAACCUUUGAGCAGAUACAUUGCCCAACUCCCACCCCAGUCAAACAUUUAUUCGUUUUCUACUACUAAAGUAGUACUUUAGAUGCAUUUGUGGAGAAAGUUAUCUGGAGACAGGUAUCAAGACUUGUGUGAAGUAUAAAAGGAUAGUUUGAAUUUGAAUCACCACCGCUGUAAAUGGCAUCAGUAAUGAAAAGUAUAAAAAUGAAUAUAUUUCCUUUUGUUACAAGGUAUCCGACAUUCCACAGGAGAGAAAGAUACACUUUGCACUAUGUUUGGCUUUGCUCUUCUUGUCAAUAAAGUCAGAUUGUCAGUUAUUCUACAACAGUUUUAUUUAUUCCAGUUUAUGUAUCACCACCCAUAUUUUCCCCACCCUUCUGCAUCGGUGUUGCAACACUGUCUUUCAAUAGAUUUGUUCCUUGGAGCUCCAUUUUUGUUUAGACAGUU